rnacentral:snRNA from 1 species
GGAUGGGAGGGCUAUGUGUCUGGGACAUCUGUUCCCCCAUUGCUAGCCAGGAUGAUUUGGCUGAUCUGGUUGGCUAGUCAGUGUCCCGCCCUGCUUUAUGUGUGUCUCUUUCCAAGCUGCAUGCUCAGUUGAAGAAGACGACCUUCCCCGAGAGAAGGAGGACCGUCCUUCAGUCAAGGGUAUACAAAUGUCUGCACUCCCUUGCUGGACCCUCCAGACAAGUCUCAAGACAGUGAUUAGAUCAAUCAUUUCUUAGAGUUACAGCAGGGGAGGGUCGGAGGAAAUAGGGAACUAAUAAUAAUGGGUACAAAAAUCAAGAAAUGUGUUGAAAUGGACUGUGGUGUGAUUGCACAGUUCUUU